rnacentral:tRNA from 1 species
GGGGUUGUGGCUUGGUGGCAGAGCAUCCACUUGGCAUGCAGAAGGUUCCACGUUCAAGCUCUGGCAUCACCU